GACGAACGCUGGCGGCGUGCUUAACACAUGCAAGUCGAACGAAGUGGCGAACGGGUGAGUAAUACGUGGGUAACCUGCCCUCCUUUUUGGGAUAAGCCUUGGAAACGGGGUCUAAUACCGAAUAAAGGGGGAUGGGCUCGCGGCCUAUCAGCUUGUUGGUGGGGUGAUGGCCUACCAAGGCGGUGAGGGGUAGCCGGCCUGAGGGGGUGACCGGACACAGUGGGACUGAGAGACGGCCCCGACACCUACGGGAGGGAGAAGUGGGGGAUAGUGCACAAUGGGCGAGAGCCUGAUGCAGGGAAGGCGCGUGGGGGAUGGGGGCUUUCGGGUUGUAAACCUCUGUCGAUAUCGAACGGGUAGGUGAAGAAGAAGCGCCGGCUAACUACGUGCCAGCAGCCGCGGUAAUAC
rnacentral:rRNA from 1 species